rnacentral:rRNA from 1 species
GAUGAACGCUGGCGGCGUGCCUAAUACAUGCAAGUCGAACGAACAGACGAGGAGCUUUCUUCUCUCACUUUAGCGUCGCACGGGUGAGUAACACGUCGGUAACCUACCUAUAAGACUGGGGUAACCUACUGAAACCGGUGCUAAUUCCCGCUAAUAUAUUCAACCGCAAGGUUCGGUAGUUAAAGGCCGUUUUGCUUUCACUGUGCGCUGAUUCCGCGCCGGAUUAGCUAGUAGGUAAGGUAACGGCUUACCCAGGCGACGAUCCGUAGCCGACCUGAGAGGGUGAUCGGCCACACUGGAACUGAGACACGGUCCAGACUCCUACGGGAGGCAGCAGUAGGGAAUAUUGCGCAAUGGGCGAAAGCCUGACGGAGCAAUGCCGCGUGUGUGAUGAAGGUCUUCGGAUCGUAAAGCUCUGUUAUUAGGGAGGAACGAAUGUGUAAGAAAACCUGCACGUCUUGACGGUACCUACUCAGAAAGCACCGGCUAACUACGUG